ACGUAGGGUGCAAGCGUUGUCCGGAAUUAUUGGGCGUAAAGAGCUCGUAGGUGGCGUGUCGCGUCUGCCGUGAAAGCCCAUGGCUUAACUGUGGGUCUGCGGUGGAUACGGGCAGGCUGGAGGCUGGUAGGGGCAAGCGGAAUUCCUGGUGUAGCGGUGAAAUGCGCAGAUAUCAGGAGGAACACCGGUGGCGAAGGCGGCUUGCUGGGCCAGUUCUGACGCUGAGGAGCGAAAGCGUGGGGAGCGAACAGGA
rnacentral:rRNA from 1 species